rnacentral:rRNA from 1 species
UUAAGAUACUAAGGGCGCACGGUGGAUGCCUAGGCGCUAGGAGCCGAAGAAGGACGGGACGAACACCGAAAUGCCUCGGGGAGCUGUAAGUAAGCAACGAUCCGGGGAUUUCCGAAUGGGGGAACCCAUGCUUCGUAAUGGAAGCAUACCCAUCUUUGAACACAUAGGAGAUGAGGAGGCAACCAGGGGAACUGAAACAUCUAAGUACCCUGAGGAGAAGAAAGCAAAAGCGAUUCCCUAAGUAGUGGCGAGCGAAAGGGGAGAAGCCUAAACCGAUACUUACGGGUAUCGGGGUUGCGGGGUGUCUAACAAAAGAGUUACAAAGAAGGAAAGUAGUUGAACAGGUUUGGAAAAGCCGGCCAAAGAGCGUAAGAGCCGCGUAGGCGAAACGAUCCUUUCUCUUAAGACAGACCCCAAGUACGGCGGGACACGAGAAACCCCGUCGGAAUCCGGGAGGACCAUCUCCCAAGGCUAAAUACUCCCUAGCGACCGAUAGUGAAACAGUACCGUGAGGGAAAGGUGAAAAGCACCCCGGGAGGGGAGUGAAAGAGAACCUGAAACCGUGUGCUUACAAGCAGUUGGAGCACGAUCGAUGUGUGACAGCGUGCCUUUUGUAGAAUGAACCGGCGAGUUACGAUUGCGUGCGAGGUUAAGGUGGAGAGCCGGAGCCGAAGCGAAAGCGAGUCUGAAGAGGGCGAAAGUACGAAGUCGUAGACCCGAAACCGUGUGAUCUACCCAUGUCCAGGGUGAAGGUGAGGUAACACUCACUGGAGGCCCGAACCCACUAGUGUUGAAAAACUAGGGGAUGAGGUGUGGGUAGGGGUGAAAUGCCAAUCGAACACGGAGAUAGCUGGUUCUCCCCGAAAUAGCUUUAGGGCUAGCCUUAGGGGAUGAAAGUUGGAGGUAGAGCACUGAUUGGACUAGGGGCCCGUCAAGGGUUACCGAAUUCAGUCAAACUCCGAAUGCCAACGAAUCAACCCUAGGAGUCAGACUGCGAGUGCUAAGAUCCGUAGUCAAGAGGGAAACAGCCCAGACCAUCAGCUAAGGUCCCCAAGUAUACGUUAAGUGGAGAAGGAUGUGGAGUUGCACAGACAACCAGGAUGUUGGCUUAGAAGCAGCCACCAUUUAAAGAGUGCGUAAUAGCUCACUGGUCGAGUGACUCUGCGCCGAAAAUGUACCGGGGCUAAACGUAUCACCGAAGCUAUGGGUUCUAGAAGUGAGAAGUGAGAUGUGAGAAGUGGGAAGGAGAACGAGAUGAUAAAUGGAAGUAAUCACACCUCACACAUCUGACCUCUCACUUCUAGAGCGGUAGGGGAGCGUUCUUAUAGCAGAGAAGUCGUACCGAGAGGAGCGGUGGAGCGAUAAGAAGUGAGAAUGCCGGUAUGAGUAACGAAAAGAGGGGUGAGAAUCCCCUCCGCCGAAAACCUAAGGGUUCCUGAGGAAGGUUUGUCCGCUCAGGGUUAGUCGGGACCUAAGCCGAGGCCGAAAGGCGUAGGCGAUGGACAACAGGUUGAAAAUCCUGUACUACCGAACUCUGCAUGAGUGAAGGGGUGACGCAGGAGGGUAGGAGAAGCGUGCGGAUGGAAGAGCACGUCCAAGCGGUGAGGCAGAAGAUAGAGGCAAAUCCCUAUCUUUGAAGAAGCUAGGCCGUGAAGGGGAGGGAAAAUAGGAGUACCGAAGUCUCUGAUCUCAGACUGCCAAGAAAAGCCUCUAGCGAGGAGUAAGGUACCCGUACCGUAAACCGACACAGGUAGGUGAGGAGAGAAUCCUAAGGCGCACGGGAGAACUCUCGUUAAGGAACUCGGCAAAAUGACCCCGUAACUUCGGGAGAAGGGGUGCCCCUGUCUGGAGGUGAGAGGUGAGAAGUAAGAAGUGGGAAUCGAAGGAAUCGGCUCUGUCCAUUUCAACAAGAUCUCACAUCUCACAUCCCAUUUCUCACCUCUAGAUUGGGGGCCGCAGUGAAAAGGCCCAAGCGACUGUUUAGCAAAAACACAGGUCUCUGCGAAGCCGCAAGGCGAAGUAUAGGGGCUGACGCCUGCCCGGUGCUGGAAGGUUAAGGGGAGAGGUUAGUGAAAACGAAGCUUUGAACCGAAGCCCCAGUAAACGGCGGCCGUAACUAUAACGGUCCUAAGGUAGCGAAAUUCCUUGUCAGGU